CAGCCGCCGCGGUAAAACCAGCACCUCAAGUGGUCAGGAUGAUUAUUGGGCCUAAAGCAUCCGUAGCCGGCUCUGUAAGUUUUCGGUUAAAUCUGUAUGCUCAACAUACAGGCUGCCGGGAAUACUGCAGAGCUAGGGAGUGGGAGAGGUAGACGGUACUCGGUAGGAAGGGGUAAAAUCCUUUGAUCUAUUGAUGACCACCUGUGGCGAAGGCGGUCUACCAGAACACGUCCGACGGUGAGGGAUGAAAGCUGGGGGAGCAAACCGGAUUAGAUACCCGGGUAGUCCCAGCUGUAAACUAUGCAAACUCGGUGAUGCAUUGGCUUGAUGCCGAUGCAGUGCCGCAGGGAAGCCGUUAAGUUUGCCGCCUGGGAAGUACGUACGCAAGUAUGAAACUUAAAGGAAUUGGCGGGGGAGCAC
rnacentral:rRNA from 2 species